CCCGUGAACCUUUACUAUAGCUUGACACUGAACAUUGAGCCUUGAUGUGUAGGAUAGGUGGGAGGCUUUGAAGUGUGGACGCCAGUCUGCAUGGAGCCGACCUUGAAAUACCACCCUUUAAUGUUUGAUGUUCUAACGUUGGCCCCUGAUCGGGGUUGCGGACAGUGUCUGGUGGGUAGUUUGACUGGGGCGGUCUCCUCCUAAAGAGUAACGGAGGAGCACGAAGGUUGGCUAAUCCUGGUCGGACAUCAGGAGGUUAGUGCAAUGGCAUAAGCCAGCUUGACUGCGAGCGUGACGGCGCGAGCAGGUGCGAAAGCAGGUCAUAGUGAUCCGGUGGUUCUGAAUGGAAGGGCCAUCGCUCAACGGAUAAAAGGUACUCCGGGGAUAACAGGCUGAUACCGCCCAAGAGUUCAUAUCGACGGCGGUGUUUGGCACCUCGAUGUCGGCUCAUCACAUCCUGGGGCUGAAGUAGGUCCCAAGGGUAUGGCUGUUCGCCAUUUAAAGUGGUACGCGAGCUGGGUUUAGAACGUCGUGAGACAGUUCGGUCCCUAUCUGCCGUGGGCGCUGGAGAACUGAGGGGGGCUGCUCCUAGUACGAGAGGACCGGAGUGGACGCAUCACUGGUGUUCGGGUUGUCAUGCCAAUGGCACUGCCCGGUAGCUAAAUGCGGAAGAGAUAAGUGCUGAAAGCAUCUAAGCACGAAACUUGC
rnacentral:rRNA from 1 species